rnacentral:rRNA from 1 species
GUCCUGCCUGCCCUGUGACCCCUGGUUCAACGGCCGCGGUAUUUUGACCGUGCAAAGGUAGCGCAAUCACUUGUCUCUUAAAUGAGGACCUGUAUGAAUGGCAAAACGAGGGCUUAACUGUCUCCUUUCCCCGGUCAGUGAAAUUGAUCUUCCCGUGCAGAAGCGGGAAUCCUAACAUAAGACGAGAAGACCCUAUGGAGCUUUAGACGCUAGAGCAGAUCAUGUAAGCUACCUCCAUGAAAUAGGUAAUAACUAUUGAAUUUCUGUUCCCCUGUCUUCGGUUGGGGCGACCACGGGGAAUAAAAAAACCCCCAUGUGGACCAGGAGCACAUUACUCCUACAACCAUGAGCCACAGCUCUAAUGCACAAAACAUUUGACCAUUAGAUCCGGCAAAGCCGAUCAACGGACCAAGUUACCCUAGGGAUAACAGCGCAAUCCCCUUUAAGAGUCCAUAUCGACAAGGGGGUUUACGACCUCGAUGUUGGAUCAAGACAUCCUAAUGGUGCAGCCGCUAUUAAGGGUUCGUUUGUUCAACGAUUAAAGUCUUA